CAUGUGAUCUGUUUGAAAGGUCCUUUUGGAUCGCUAGAGGAUGGUCUUGCGGCGUAUUAGCUUGUUGGUAGGGUAGAAGCCUACCAAGGCAAUGAUGCGUAGCCGAGUUGAGAGACUGGCCGGCCACAUUGGGACUGAGACACUGCCCAAACUCCUACGGGAGGCUGCAGUAGGGAAUUUUCCGCAAUGCACGAAAGUGUGACGGAGCGACGCCGCGUGUGUGAUGAAGGCUUUCGGGUCGUAAAGCACUGUUGUAAGGGAAGAAUAACUGAAUUCAGAGAAAGUUUUCAGCUUGACGGUACCUUACCAGAAAGGGAUGGCUAAAUACGUGCCAGCAGCCGCGGUAAUACGUAUGUCCCGAGCGUUAUCCGGAUUUAUUGGGCGUAAAGCGAGCGCAGACGGUUUAUUAAGUCUGAUGUGAAAUCCCGAGGCCCAACCUCGGAACUGCAUUGGAAACUGAUUUACUUGAGUGCGAUAGAGGCAAGUGGAACUCCAUGUGUAGCGGUGAAAUGCGUAGAUAUGUGGAAGAACACCAGUGGCGAAAGCGGCUUGCUAGAUCGUAACUGACGUUGAGGCUCGAAAGUAUGGGUAGCAAACGGGAUUAGAUACCCCGGUAGUCCAUAC
rnacentral:rRNA from 1 species